ensembl:lncRNA
CUGCUUCCUGACCUGCAUACAGGUUUCUCAAGAGGCAGGUCAGGUGAUCUGGUAUUCUCAUCUCUUUCAGAAUUUUCCACAGUUUAUUGUGAUCCACACAAUCAAAGGCUUUGGCAUAGUCAAUAAAGCAGAAAUAGAUGGUGCAGCCAGAUAGAUAAAAUAAAUAAACCAGAUCGGGUCUUGCCUUUAGAAGUCCUCAUAUCCACACCCUCCAUAGUCCCCUAGACUGUUAACUCCAACAAAGGCAGAGACCCCAUUGAUUUUAUUCAUCUUUUGAUUCAUCUCACUGAGCCCAGAGUCUGACAUAAGGCAACUCCAUGUAAGUAUAUGUUUAAUAAAAGAAUAAAUGAGUUGUAUCCAGAAGCUAAUGGGGAGCUACUAAUGGGAGUCAUGUAAAGUAGUGGCAUGAGCUUUCUUUCCCUUAUUACUCCAUCUGGAAACACACAUCUGGUAGCAAGGGGGAUAUGGAUCAAAGGAGACCUUGUAAGAGGCCAUGUGCAAUAAUUCAAGUAAGGGGUAAUGAGGUGAUGAGAUAGGGUGAUGCUAAGGAUACUGGUGGUGGAUAUAUCAAGGCAGGGUUAGCCUUGAUAUUUGGAUAAUGAGGGAGGUGAAGAAGUAAGAGGAGUUGAAGAUUAUUUUCUGAGUUCUCGUUUUGUAUUUUUCCAACUAAGUCACGUGGGAGGAAGAGCAGUCUCUAGAGGCAGACCAUGAGUUCAGCUUUGAACAGGUUGUGCCAGGUAUGACUAUGGAUGGUAAGAUGGGGAGAUGCUCAUGGGGCAGUUAGCAGACCAGGUCUGGAGCUGAUGCUGCAGACGUUGUUACUGACUCCUCAACGUCCAUCCUGCUACUCUUGCAAAGUGAUUCAGGAAAUGGACCUCAUCUCAAAGGAAAGCCUGAUUGAUCUGAGAGUGUUGAUCCCAAAAUCAUCCUACUUGUUAGAAAUUAGUUCAGGGAAAGUCAUGUGAUCUAAUUUCCAUCAAUAAGGUGUUUGCAGGUGGCUUCUAGGAAAUGCACAGGAAGCCAGGCUUUCUCUCAAUGGAUUUGGAUGAGGAAGCCUACAGCCUCAGUGCUCCUUACAGUUUUCCUGCAGCAAAAAAGGUACCAAGCCACAGACUGAGGGCAACACUGAGGACUGGAGAGUGGAGAGAGAAAAGCUGUGUCCUUGAUGAUGUUGUUGAAUCUAUGCACCAGCCAUCUUGGAAGUUUUUUCUGUCUCUUGAUGGCCUCUCACAGGAGCAUUCAUGUGUCUUUUUAUGAUCAUUGGGUGAGGAUCUUGUUAAUGACAGUUGAAAGCACCCUAAAUUAAACAGCUGAAGCUGCACAUUUGUUGGUCACCAGCCACUGGGUGACAGCUAAAGUUGAGGAUAUUAUUACCUGGGAAACACUGGCUGAAAAUAGAGUUCUAGGCACAUUAGGCACAUUACACUUAUGGUUGCAUCCAAUUUUAACCUAUGACUCAAGAGUUUUUUUAGUCAAACUCGAUCUUAUUAAGGCUAUCCUUUAAUUGAGUGGCUCUAUGACUUUGAAGAGUCUACAAAUCACAGCCUUUCUGUGUUUCAGUGAGCUGAAUGGUGAACUGGGGGGGAUAUAGCUGGUCUACACACUGGCUAUACACUUACAUCUAUACGAACAGGUUCGGGUUUGUAGGGCUUGAAGCAUAUAUAAUCUUGAGGAGUGAAGUGAAAUGAAAUCCAUGGGGUCGCAAAGAGUCGGACAUGACUGAGCGACUUCAUUUUCACCUAUGGAAAAAGAAACCUGCAAGGCAAAAGUUCCCAGGCCCACAAAAGUCAGAAUCAUCUGUGUGUCUUCUAUUGGCUUCUCUCCUUUAGUCAAUAUUUUUUUUUUCUUCUCCAUUACUUUCUAUAGCUUCAUCUCUUCCUCGCCUCUCCCCACUCUUUACUAUUUUAGACCUCUUAUUCUCCUAACUCUAGCAUUUUCUGGCUUAUAUCCAUAUGACACUUUCAUGUAAAAUGAAAAAAAUAAAAAACAAGCAUUUUCCUUGUGCUAGCUUUUCUUUUCUGUCUCAGCCUUUUAAUUCCUUAGGUUAUCAGCUUUCAGAGUGAAGACGUGUAAUCCCUUAGAGAAUGGAGGACUCAGAAUAGAGAGUUUGAGACACACCUUCUGAAACUGCAGCCUCUUGAAAGCCUGAUUCCUAGCAAAGAGUGUCACCACUCUGCUUUUCAUAUUGGAACGCGGCGUAGACGAUGAACAUUAAUUAGGAUUAUCGAGCCAGGGAGGCUUACCGCACUGCGACAG